GGAGUAGUGGCUCAGUGGUAGAGCACUUGCCUGGCAUGUGUGAGGCCCUGGGUUCAAUCCUCAGCACCA
rnacentral:tRNA from 1 species